UGGGGAAUAUUGGGCAAUGGAGGCAACUCUGACCCAGCAAUGCCGCGUGAGUGAUGAAGGUAUUUUUAUUGUAAAGCUCUUUUAUUGGGAACGAAUUCUGACGGUACCCAAUGAAUAAGCCCCGGCUAACUACGUGCCAGCAGCCGCGGUAAUACGUAGGGGGCGAGCGUUGUCCGGAAUGACUGGGCGUAAAGGGUGUGUAGGUGGUUUGCUAAGUUAGAUGUGUAAUACCCAGGGCUUAACUCGGGUGCUGCAUCUAAAACUGGUAGACUUGAGUACUGGAGAGGAUAGUGGAAUUCCUAGUGUAGCGGUGGAAUGCGUAGAUAUUAGGAGGAACAUCAGUGGCGAAGGCGACUAUCUGGACAGCAACUGACACUGAGGCACGAAAGCGUGGGGAGCA
rnacentral:rRNA from 1 species